UACGGAGGGGGGCUAGCGUUGUUCGGAAUUACUGGGCGUAAAGCGCACGUAGGCGGCUUUGUAAGUUAGAGGUGAAAGCCCAGGGCUUAACCCUGGAAUUGCCUUUAAGACUGCAUCGCUAGAAUCGUGGAGAGGUAAGUGGAAUUCCGAGUGUAGAGGUGAAAUUCGUAGAUAUUGGGAAGAACACCGGUGGCGAAGGCGGCGACCUGGUCCUUGACUGACGCUGAGGCGCGAAAGCGUGGGGAGCAACAGG
rnacentral:rRNA from 1 species